GAUGAACGCUGGCGGUAUGCUUAACACAUGCAAGUCGAGCGGACUCUUCGGAGUUAGUGGCGGACGGGUGGGUAACGCGUGAGAAUCUGGCUUUGGGUUCGGGACAACCACUGGAAACGGUGGCUAAUACCGGAUGUGCCGAGAGGUAAAAGAGAAAUUGCCUGAAGAUGAGCUCGCGUCUGAUUAGCUAGUUGGUGAGGUAAAGGCUCACCAAGGCAGCGAUCAGUAGCUGGUCUGAGAGGAUGACCAGCCACACUGGGACUGAGACACGGCCCAGACUCCUACGGGAGGAGGCAGUGGGGAAUUUUCCGCAAUGGGCGAAAGCCUGACGGAGCAAUACCGCGUGAGGGAAGAAGGCUCUUGGGUUGUAAACCUCUUUUCUUAGGGAAGAACAAAAUGACGGUACCUAAGGAAUCAGCAUCGGCUAACUCCGUG
rnacentral:rRNA from 1 species